rnacentral:tRNA from 1 species
GCUCCCAUGGCGUAGUGGUCACUGCGCUCGCCUUGCACGCGGGAGACCCGGGUUCGAUUCCCAGCGAGGUCA